rnacentral:rRNA from 1 species
CCUACGGGUGGCAGCAGUGGGGAAUAUUGGGCAAUGGGCGCAAGCCUGACCCAGCAACGCCGCGUGAAGGAUGAAGGUUUUCGGAUUGUAAACUUCUGUUGCGAGGGACGAAGAAUGACGGUACCUUGUAAGAAAGCCCCGGCCAACUACGUGCCAGCAGCCGCGGUAAUACGUAGGGGGCAAGCGUUGUCCGGAAUGACUGGGCGUAAAGGGAGUGUUGGCGGCCUUGUAAGUUAGAUGGGAAAUCCUCCGGCUUAACCGUAGAACUGCAUCUGAAACUGGUAGGCUGGAGUGCAGGAGAGGUAAGUGGAAUGCCUAGUGUAGCGGUGGAAUGCGUAGAUAUUAGGAGGAACACCAGGGGCGAAGGCGACUCGCUGGACUGUAACUGACGCUGAGGCUCGAAAGCGUGGGGAGCAAACAGGAUUAGAUACCCGUGUAGUC